rnacentral:rRNA from 1 species
UACGUAGGGUGCAAGCGUUGUCCGGAAUUAUUGGGCGUAAAGAGCUCGUAGGCGGUUUGUCGCGUCUGCUGUGAAAACUCGGGGCUUAACCCCGGGCCUGCAGUGGGUACGGGCAGACUAGAGUGCGGUAGGGGAGACUGGAAUUCCUGGUGUAGCGGUGAAAUGCGCAGAUAUCAGGAGGAACACCCAUAGCGAAGGCAGCUUGCUGGGACGUUACUGACGCUAAGGCGCGAAAGCGUGGGGAGCGAACAGG